UUAUCGGAGAGUUUGAUCCUGGCUCAGGACGAACGCUGGCGGCGUGCCUAAUACAUGCAAGUCGAGCGGACAGAGGGGAGAGGGAGAAAGGAGGGGAGAGGGGGAGGGGGGAGGAAGAAGAAGGGAAGCGGCCUGUAAGACUGGGAUAACUCCGGGAAAUCGGGGCUAAUACCGGAUGGUUGUUUGAACCGCAUGGUUCAAACAUAAAAGGUGG
rnacentral:rRNA from 1 species